AAAGUCGUAACAAGGUUUCCGUAGGUGAACCUGCGGAAGGAUCAUUAUGAAUUUGAACUUGUGUGGUUGGCUGUUUUCGUUUUCUUUCGAACGCUUUCCCGCAAUUCUUUUUCUGUGAACUGUUCUCAUAUUCUCAAUUUAUUUUGAGAGUUUGGGUUACUUUUUUGUUUUCUUGUAUUAUUCCAACUUUUUGAGUAAUUCUUGCAAAAGAAUGAAAAAAACAAAAACCAAGACAACUUUCAGCAAUGGAUCUCUUGGCUCUU
rnacentral:misc_RNA from 1 species